rnacentral:lncRNA from 1 species
GUUCUACCCUAUAGCUAUGUUUGUGCCACUACCACCUCCUGCCUCAAAGAAACUCUUGCCAGGGUGAUUUACCAAGGAUAAAGAUGUCUAAUUUAAGUUGGACCAACCCAAUUCUCUUUCUUGGAAAUUUGAAACUAGAAGAGAGCCACAUGGAGAAUGAAGGUAAUUGAAGCUAGGAUAGCUAAUAUUGAUACUUCAGAGAACAUCCAAGAGCUUCUUUCUGAUGCCAAAGACCCAGAACAGCCUUUGUCCCUAGCCUUUGUCAAAGUAGAAUGAUGGCUCCAAGCCUUUCACUUCUUAGUAAUGUGUUGUCUUAGUAAUCUAAUCUUAGUAAGUGUUAUCUUAGUAAUCUAAUCAAUGUAACUUUCUUACAUUAGAGUAAUUUUUGGUUGUUUAACAGGUAGGCCAGACCUACUAUUAUUUAUCCCCUACGUCCGUAUCAAAUAGGCUUCUGCUUGAAGAUCUUGGCUGACACAAGACUCUAAUUUAGUUUUCCCACACAGAUAAGGUAAUAAAAUAAAGACAAAUGAAUUGAUUUUAUUGUUAAAUGAGUCAUGAAUUUUGAUGAGCUUGGAUCUUGACAACAAGUAUAGAAUUUAAGAUGUGGAAAAAUAUUCUUGGAAGGCAAGGUCAUCAGAUCCGGAGUCCAUUCUAAAUCCCAGUGGAACUCUGUGACUGCUUAAUGCAUAAGACACAGUUGGGUUCAGAUCUUUAUAAUGUUCCACACUGACUUCCUGACUGUCUCAAGUAGCUAUUUCACGGUCUCUUAAGAGGUAACCUGUAUCACCAAUUUUUUAUUAAACCUGUGGAUUUUGCAUCAGAAAAGUUAUUCUGAUUAAUUUGGGGCCAUUUAGAAGAGCAAAACAGUAUUUUAGUAAAAUGUUACCUUCAACAAGUAUGUUAUUGUAAUUUAGUCAUUGGGAAGAUUAAUUCGUCUUCUUUAGAAAAUAUUGCAGCCUAACACAAUGAUUAAAAGCAUGAGAUUUAGUAAUUUCAAACCUUAACUCUCCCAGAGUUUGGCUGCUCCUUCAUUUUAGAGGGAUUAGUUCAGGUCAUCCUGGCAGGUUCCCAUAUCAGUGUUGUGCUCUUAGGUUCAUAGUUUUGUUUUAUGGAUAAAUAUUUACUUAUGUCUGUUUGGCUAACUUUGCUUUGUGGCUGAGCAGUUGUUUCUUACUAGUUGUGAAACUAGAUUGGGUUAAAUUAAAAUGACAUGGCCAUUUCAUUUCUCCUUCCACUUUUGCCAUUAUGUGGGAGGGGAAACAACUCCAGGCAUUUAUUCAACAAAUAUUUAUUCAGCCUUUACUAUGUACCAGAAACUGGGGAUAAAGUUGUUAACAAAAACAUUAUGGUUCCUGACCUCACCGAGCUGAUGGUCUAAGAAAUCCAAAAUGGUGACCCACAUUACUCCUGAAACUCAUUCAAAUUGCAAAAGAUCCUAUCUCCAAGUAAAGAAUUUUUAGGAGUAUUCCUUACUUUCUUCCCAAACAGCAUCUUACUCUUAAUUAGGGAAGCUAUAUGCCAAAGCUGAGCCCCUUCCUUUUAUUUUGAGGAAGUAUUAUUGUAAUUGGUAAAUAUGUUUCAGAUUCUUUAGUAAGGGAUUUUGGUGAUUUACUAAUUUACUUAUGAAUGAAGAUUCCUUUAUUAUUUUCUGUUGCUCUUAUUAUUUUGUUUAGUGUGCUAUGUAAACAUGCAGUCAUAUCAUAAUCUUUCCUAGAAGUCUAAUUUGAUUCAAGUUUGCACAUUUAAAAAGCCAAUGACAAACUCUACCCCCUAAUCUUUGUCAUCUAUAUAGGUCUUAUUUCAACUGUUGUUCAGGAAUGAUCCAAACAAAUUCAGAAGCAGAUUUAAAUGUUAUAGGAAAACACCAGUGUCUAGAUCCCAGAUCGCCAACUCCCAAGCCACAGACUGGUACCAGUCCAUGGCCUGGUAGGAACUGGGCCACACAGCAGGAGGUGAGUGACAGGUAAGAUAGCAAAGCUUAAGCUGUAUUUACAGCCCUUCUCAAUUGCUCACAUUAUUUCCCAAGCUCCGCCUUCUGUCAGAUCAGUGGCAGCAUUAGAUUCCCAUAGGAGCACAAAACCUAUUGUGAACUGUGCAUGCGAGGGGUCUAGGUUGCAUGCCCUUUAUGCACGUCUAAUACCUGAUGAUCUGUCACCGUCUUUCAUCACCUCCAGAUGGGACCAUUUAGUUGGAGGAAAACAAGCUUAGGGCACCCACUGAUUCUAUAUGAUGGGGAGUUGUGUAAUUAUUAGAUGGUGUAAUUAUUAGAUGGUAAGUAGUAUUAUACAUUACAAUGUAAUACUAAUAGAAAUAGAUAAAGUGCAAAAUUAAUGUAAUGCACUUGAAUCAUCCCAAAUAAUUCUCUCCCCAACACCCCCACCAGUCUGUGAAAAAAUUGUCUUCCAUGAGACUGGUCCCUGGUGCCAAAAAGGUUAAGGACUGCUGCUCUAGAUCAUUUCUUUUACGUACCAAGUGUUCCAAGAAUACUAUAACAAAAAACAUCAAAAGUUCAGUAGAAAAUGGGCAAAGGGCAUAAGCAAACUGGUCAGAGUAAAAAAAAAUAUAUAUGAAGGGUCCUUAGUUGCAUGAAAAGAUACUCAUCUUGAAAGUCCAAAAGUUUGACCUGCCCUUUGUGUGCCAGUCUUCAGAGGAAAAGACAUUUCCUUACAAUGCUUGUCAGACUGUCAAACGAUAUUAAAUACAACCUCUGUGGAAGGCAAUCUGACAAUAACUCUCAAAAUAAAACAUGAAUUCCAUUUUUAGGAAUUCAUCCUACAGGUAGAUCUACACAUGUACAUGAUGUUUGUAAUUAUAAGUUUUUAUACUUCAGAAUCUUGUGUCCAUCAAUAAACAAUUGGUUUUUACAUAAGGCAAUAUUAUGCAGUUUUUAAAAAGAACAAAGAGAUCUCCAUGUACUUAUGUGGAAAUAAUCAAGAUAUAGUAUUAACUGAAAAAAGAGCAAGUCUCAUAAGAUUGCAUACAAAAGUAGGUCACGUUUUGUGUAUGAAAAGAGGAACAAAUUUUCAAUGACAUAUGCUUAUUGUUGCCUAGGAAACAGUGGAUGGAUAAAUAAUAAACUAAUAAAAUACAUUAUUUACAGGGAGAAGGAGAACUGUUGGAUGGGGGCAAAAGUAAAGCUUAUUAUAUAGUUUUUAUUUUUGAACCAUGUGAAUGCAUUAUCCAUUCAAAAGUAAAAUAAGCCAGUUUGAUGGCUCAUGCUCGUAACUCCCAACAUGUUGAGAGUUAGAGGCCAGGAGUUUGAGUUCAGCCUGGGAAACAUAGAGAAACCUUGUCUCUACUAAAAACAAACAAAAAAUUAGCUGGGCAUGGUGGUAUGUGACUGUAGUCCUAGCUAUUUGGGAGACAGGUAGGAAGAUGCUUUAAGCCCAGGAGGUUGAGGCUGCAGCAAGUCAUAAUCACACCACUGCACUCCAGCCUGAGCAACAGAGCAAGACCCUGUCUCAAAAAAUAAAAAAUAAAAUAAAAAUAAAACAUAAAACCCAUAGCAACAAACUCCCAGCCCCUGGCUGUCAAAAUGUCUGUAGGGUCAGACAUUUCUCUGGGCCACUCAGAAACUUAUUACUUUAGCUCUAAAUUUUCUCUUGAUUUCUGACACCUCAGUUUCCUCCCUUUUUUUCUUGUGAAUUCAGCUAUGUAUUUAAAACUUAAAAAAAUUAUCUAAUAUUAUUAUGAAUUUUCAGUAGGAGAGGUGUUCCGGUUGGUUUUGUUUUUGAAAUUGCUGGAGCCCCAGUAUAUUCAUAGAAUUAAGCAGCCAAAAUGAUUUCUCAAAGUUAAAGAGUGGAAAGAUUUUAACUCAGCAAACUCACUGUAAUGGUUAAUACUGAGUGUCAACUUGACUGGAUUGAGGGAUGCCAAGUAUUGAUCCUGGGUGUGUCUGUGAUGGUAUUGCCAAAGGAGAUUAACAUUCGAGUCAGUGGGCUGGGAAAGGCAGACCUGCCCUUAAUCUGGGUGGCCACAAUCUAAUCAGCUGCCAGCACAGCCAGAAUAAAAGCAGGUGGAAGAACAAGAAAAGACUAGGUUGACUUAGCCUCCCAGCCUACAUCUUUUUCCUGUGCUGGAUGCUUUCUGCCUUCAAACAUCGGACUCCAAGUUCUUCAGCUUUGGAACUCUGGCUGGCUACCUGGCUCUUCAGCUUGCAGAUGGCCUAUUGUGGGACUUUGUGAUCAUGUGAGUUAAUACUCCUUAAUAAACUCACAUAUAUAAAUAUAUAUAUUCUAUUAGUUCUGUCUCUCUAGAGAAACCUGACUAAUACACUCACAUAAGAGACAAGCUUUAUAAGGCUCACUUAUGUGGUGUGUACUUAAAUGGCCCUUUGUGAUCAUCCCUUCUUGAAGGAGAUAUACCUAAUGUAAAUGACGAGUUAAUGGGUGCAGCACACCAACAUGGCACAUGUAUACAUACGUAACAAACCCGCACAUUGUGCACAUGUACCCCAGAACUUAAAGUAUAAUAAAAAAAUUUUUUUAAAGUCAAUAUUGGCUUGUAUAUAUCAUGAAAUUUCUAAGCUAUGAUGUUAUGACUCUUUGCUCUUGUUAACAGAGAAGUAAGAGUCCUGAUCUGUGUAUUUAGUUUCAUAUAUGAGUAUAUUUAACACUACAUCAGAGAUCACCUGUUCUCUUUAGCAUAUUUUAGAUUUAAAAAUGUUUUAGUCUCUGAGUAUUACUAAAUAGUUUUGUCUUAAAUUAUAUAAAGUGAUUGAGCCAGACUAAUAAACUCUUUCAUUCUUCUGAAUGGGCAGAAACAUUAGGCCUUAUAAAAAAUAAGCCUUUGUUUUUUUAGAUAUUAAUAAAUACAUUGUGAGAUAAACAUCCAUGAGGAGGAUGGAGAGUACAGUUGUAAAAGGCUUUGAGCCCUGUAUUAGUCUGUUCUCACAUUGCUAUAAAUAAAUACCUGGGACUGGGUAAUUUAUAAAGAAAAGAGGUUUAAUUGGCUCAUGGUUCGACAGGCUGUACAGGAAGCAUGGUGAGGAGGCCUCAGGAAACUUACAAUCAUGGUCAAAAGCAAAGGGGAAGCACGCAUGUCUUACAUGGACAGAGCAGGAGGAAGAGAGAGCAUGGGGAAGUGCUACACACUUUUAAACAAUCAGAUUGCGUGAGAACUCGCUCACUAUCACAAGAACAGCAAGGGGGAAAUCUGCUCCCAUGAUCCAAUCACCUCCCAGCAGGUCCUCCUCCAACAUUGGAGAUUACAAUCCGACAUGAGAUUGGGGGAGGACACAGAUGCAAACCAUAUCAAGCCCCAUCAGAAAUUGAGAUAGUUGUGGAAACAACACUGCUAAUUCAGCUGCUACACUUACCCCUAUACAAUCCCUUAUAAUUCAUUCCAUGGAAUAAACAACUUAAAAUGAAGAAUCUAAAACAAUUAAGUUGUAGCAGUUGAAUGGUGUCUCCCAGAUAUAUAUAUAUAUAUAUGGCCUAAACUCCAAUUCCUGUGAAUGUGAACUUAUUUAGUCACAGGGUUUUGUAUCAUGGGAUUACAUCAAGCUAAAACAUGGUCAUAUUAGGUUAGUAUGGGCCUUAAUUUAAUCUGACUGUUGUUCCAAUAAGAAGAAAAGAGACACAGUGACAGACAUGGGGGAGAAGGCCAUGUGAAGACAGAGGCAGAGAUUGUAAUAAUGCAACUGCAAGCCAAGGAAUGCUAAGGAUUACCAGUAAUCACCAGAGGCUUGGAAGAGGCAAGAAAAGACUCUCACCUAGAGCCUUCAGAGAGAGCAUGGUCUUGCCAAUACCUGAAUUAUGGACUCUCAAUUUCCAGAACUGGGGGUGGGAAUAAAUUUCUGUUGUAAGCCAUUUGGUGUGUGCUAAUUUGUUAUGGCAGCCCUAGGAAACUAAGGCACAAGUCAAGGUCUAAAAGUGUAAUUGACACAAUCUGCAUUUUCAAUCAUAGCCAUCUCUUGAAGGAUGUCUAAAACUUGAGAAGAUCAUUCAUGAAUUCAAAAUUGGGAGAAGGUAGCAUGGAAAAUUGGUGCCACUAUUUCUGUCUUGGAUCACUUCAACCAUAAAAAGACUUUUUUUCCCCUCUCUUUAAGGGUUUUGGUAUUAGGAGUGCUUACUUUUGUCAACCUCUUUGGUCAGUAGGAUGGAAAAUAUAUACUAAACUUUUAAUAAAAAUAAUAUAAAAUUAACAAUGUCAAACAAUAAAGAUGUUUAUGCAUCAAAAUCAUCCUUUCCUCCUUUCACCUUUAAGAUAUUCUCCAGAGAUAAGCACUAUAAACCAUAUCUUUUAUAUCAUUCUAGAAAUGUUUUAUGUAUAUACAAGCAUUUUCAUAGACAUGUAUGUUUAAACAUAACUGUGAUUGUAGUUUACAUGGGAAUUUAGGCUUUGUUUUCUCUGUUUAAUAUAUUUUGGUUGUCUUUUUAUAUUGACUCUUACAGAAUCUACCUUAUUCUUUUAAAAAUUGCUAAUAUUUUAUUGCAAGGUUCCUGCAAUUAAUAUGCCAAAUCUCUAUUAUAGGCAUUUAGAUGGAUUUCAACUUAUCAAUUAUACUGCAAUACAUGUGCUUAUAUGUAAUCUUUAAGAAUUUGUAUAUACAGCCAUGUAGUGUGAGAAAUUUAAAAAAAAUAAAAACAAAGAAUUUGUAUGUAUAUAUUUGAGGAAAAAUUUUAUGAAAACAGAAAUGUCAGGGCAUGUACACUUAAAAAUUUGAAAGCUAUUAUCGAAUAACUCUGAAGGGGAAAUAUUAAUACAUUUCCAUGUCCCCUAAUUCCUACAGCUAAUUCAGUAUACACAGAACUAUUAAACAGCAAAAUCACAACAUUGAUUUGGAUAACUUUUACUCUCAAAGAUAUAUUCAAUUUUUAAUUAAAUUAAAUAACCAUGGAGCAAAGUGUUUUAGGGAUGAAGAAGAGAGAGUCUGUUUUAAAGAUCUUGGCCUUAAUGGUUUCUUUUCAUCAACAGUCAGAAAGACCUGUGGACAACAUUCUAAGGAAACAUUAAGAAGUUGUUUUAUUACAGGUAUUUUCUAGGAAGCUACUCAAAAGAAAGUGAACCUUGUAUUUGCAGGAAUCUGUGUUGUAGCCAAUAGAAAGGCAUGGCUAAAUCAAGAGAACCACCACUGGUGACAUUAGUUCUUACACUUUUAAUUUUUUGGACCCUUAUGUUUAACUUAGAGACAUAGAAACAGCUGUAAUUUGUAUAUCACCUCUAGUAAUAGUCCAGAAUGCAUUGUCACAGAGGCAACUAAUGUGAGAAGUAAAAGAGGAAUAAUGAAUGGCUAAUAAGUUUCACCAAUUAUCUUUAUCAGGAGGGAUUGACAGUUAACAUCAGAAUCACAUUAUUACGUGAUUCUAAGUUACCAGUAUUUUGAAAUUUAUUUAUGCCUAAGUUUUAGCUGUCUAUUAGAUGACAUAUCUUAUUUAUACGUAAUUGCAUGACCACCCUACAUAUAAUAGACCAUGAACACAUAUCAGUGUCUCUCUUAUUUUUCUAAAAUUAAUUAUGUUAAUUAUGGGUUGUACUUUUAAGUCAGAAAACUUUCUGCAUCUUUUUUAAGCCUAUAGAGAAAGGUCCCCUUUUUCCUAUUGUGUAGGGGAAAUACUCAAAUAAGAAGAUCCAGUGAGUACUGACUAUCAGCAUCCAAGCUGCUGCAAGAAGCUUGAUUUUCUUAUUUAAAAAAUGCCUGAACAAGAUGAAUAGUAGCAAGACCUGUCCUGUUUUGUCCAUCUCCUAACAUUGUAAAAGAACAAGCAUGUUUCUGCAAAAUCUGUUUGCCUGUAAUGUGUGUGUGUGUGUGUGUGUGUGUGUGUGUGUGUGUGAUGAUAAUAAUGAGAUUGUGGAUGGAGAGAGUGAUAUAAGUUCCCUUGCUUUGCAUCUUACUACCCAAAGUUUCUUUGCUUUUCCAAUCCUGAGCACUUGUGGUGGGAAGACAUGACUCUGACUGACUCAGCCAGCUGGGUUGAGUCUGUGUCUAUUGAUACUUGUCCUAUGUUUAUUUCCCUGUAGCUGAACCAUAUCCUUGUUCUCUCCUGUCUCAUUUUCAGGCAGAAUUCCUGGAAUGACUCAGCUCUGCAGCUCACUUAAUUCCCAUAAGUUAUCUCUAUUUGGCCCAUAACUAGCCUGUAUUUUCUUGAGUUUCUUUGGUGACUGUUUCUCAUUGUUGCUUCCUAUCCACCAUUAGGGCUACAGUUUUAAUCCAUGUUUUGCCCAUGUACUCCUGUUAAUUCUACUCCAGCUUCCCUGAAAAAUAGGACUUGAGCCCAAUUCCUUGCAGGCUUCACGGCCAGCAGAGCACAGUGGUGUAUCACCCUGCUGGAAGCUAUAGUUGAUGACUUUAUGGCUUGUGUAAUAAGGAGGUAGAAUCCUUAGCAUUUCUAGAGGGUAGGCAUAGGCCCAUAAACUUACAUUCCUUCAAAUUCCUUCCACUUAGAAACCUCUGUCUUCUCAAAAUGAUUAAUAAUAGAUUCCAGCUAUCAAAACAACUAUUUUCAAACAGUAGAUUAUUACACAACAAGCAGGAAGUUGUGACUCAAAUGUUUUAAUUUUAUAAACAGUUUAUGAUGUAUUAUGAGAGAGCAGAGAUAUUUUCAAAAGUAUUUUAUUGUAACUAUUUGCUUUACCGAACUUUCGGCAAAAGGCAGAAUAACAAAAAUCUUAAAAUGCUGGCAUCAGUGUAACCCAUUUGUUGUUUGUGUCUGGUUAAGAAUUUGUUUAAAGACAGCAUACAAAAUAUAAACGUGUCAGUUGUUUUCACCCUGAUACUAAACGUUUAUCAUGGUGUGCUGGAGCCAGGGACUCAGCAGCCACUGAGAUUUGAGCUAGGCUGCAAAUUUAGCUGGACACUGACCAACAGUAUAACAUUGAACAGCUCACUUGACUUCUCUGAGGCUCAUUUUAUCUCAUCUGUAAUAAUGAUAGUUAGAUAUCCUCUCUUUUAAAGACUUAAAUAGGGAAUGAUACAUGAAGGCACUUAGCACAAUGCUGAUCAGACGAAUUGUCUAAAAUGCAUUCAUUACUUUUCCAACCUUUUUUCAAAAAUAAAAAAACUAUUAAUUCAACUGGAAAACUAUACAAAAGUGAGCCUAUCAGAUGCUGUGAAAUUUCUGAUGUAUUUUUCUUCUUUGUUAUUUCUGCAAUAUGAUUCUUGACAGUAACAUGUGAUAAGAACACCAGAAUGACAUCAAAGAAAUUUAGGAACUUCAAGACCACCAAGUAUCAAAGAUGCUUUUAAAUAACAUAAUUUGAAUAAAUUGAAUGCAUUUGAAUAAGGUGUCUAACCAGAGAUUGAACUAAUCCUUAAUACAUUUAACAAGAAAUUAAAAAAAGAAUCAAUCAAAAAAUGAUCUCAUCUGGAAUUUUUAGUUACAUGGCAUUUGUCUGAUAGUCUCCAAUGUCUUUUCCCUUACUUUCCACUAAAACAUUUACGAAGGUAAUGGGAGAAAAUGUUACAAAGCAAUAUUAAACACUAAGGUCCAUAGACUACCUAGAGUCAGAUUUGGGGAGGAAUCUUUGUCAAAUAUAUGAAAGUUGAAGUGAUUAGAAAAAAAAAUUUACUUCAGUAAAUACAACGGGGGUACAGGCAUUGGCUAACUACCCCCAUUCCAAAAGGGAUAAAUUGGCCAAAACCAAGGGGCUACAGGCCCUGUGCAAGUUUGAAACCCAGCAAGGCAGUCAUUAAAUCUUAAAGUCCCAAAAUAAUCUCCUUUGACUCCAUGUGUCACAUCCAGGCAACACUGAUGCGAGGGGUGGGCUCUACCCAUUAUCCAGUUCCAAAGCUGCUUCCACAUUUUCAGGUAUCUUUACAGCAAUGCCCCACUUUCUGGUACCAGUUUUCUGUAUUAGUCCAUUCUCUCAUUGCUAUAAAGAACAACCAGAGACUGGGUAGUUUAUAAAGAAAAGGGGUUUAAUUGACUCAAUUCCACAGACUGUACAGGAAGCAUGUCUGGGGAGGCCUCAGGAAACUUAGAAUCAUGGAGGAGGGUGAAUGGGAAGUAGGCACGACUUACGUGGCUGGAGAAGGAGGAAGAGAGAGAAGAAAUUGCUACACACUUUUAAACAACCAGAUCUUGUGAGAACUCACUCACUAUAACAAGAAUAGUAAGGGAAAAUCCACCCUCAUGAUCCAAUCCCCUCCUACCAGGCCUCUCCUCCAACACUGGGGACUACAACUUAACAUGGGAUAUGGGCAGGGGCACAAAUCCAAAUCAUAUCAAGGAUAAGUAGCAGUCCCAAUGGUACAUAGCUGAACAAGGAAUAUUCUCGCAAAAAACUGAGAAUUUAUCCAAGAGCUUUUUAUAUUAACUUUCUCUCCAGCUGUAGAUUUGAGAAAUAGAUUUAAUCAUUAUCCAAGAAUGUAUGAAUUGAACCAGAGGCAAUCCACAUAACCUGUCUGUUGACAAAUACAAAUCUGAAAAGAUUUGGUUUGAAAAAACAGUAUCCAAAACCAUGGGGAAAGAGUAUUUCAAACACAACCUAACAUACAGUCUAUCAUAUGGGUUAGAAAAUGAGUGUACAUCCUUAAUAGAAUGCAAGAAGUCUUGGCCUUUUUGAAAUAGUAGCAGAAAAUUAUAAAGGGAAAACAUGACGCAUUAAAAGGACAUUACCAAGAGGUUAAAAAGAGAUAAAAAGAGAGAAGACUAAGUAAGGAUUUCUAAAAAAUAAGAAAAAUAGCAUAGAUAAAAUCCACUGCAGAGUUAAAGAAGCAGUAAAAGAUAUUGUAGAAAAUUAAAUCAGUGUAUAAACUUCCAAAGCUCUCACAGAACAUAUAUAGAGAGAACAAAGAUAAGAAAAUUGUGAUAGUGAAGAUAAAAGACAUGGUGUACAAAGAAUAUAGAGUCAGUAUACAGAGAGUACAUUUAGCUGCAAAAAAAUCUCAAAAAUAAAAACCAGUUGUACCAGUCUGUUUUUGCACUGCUAUAAUGAACUACCUGAGACUGGUUAAUUUAUAAAGGAAAAAAGUUUAAUUGAUUCACAGUUCCACAUGGCUGGCGAGGCCUCAGGAAAGUUACAAUCAUAGAUGAAGGGGAAGCAAGUCACAACUUACAUUGCAGCAGGAGAGAGAGAGCAAAACGGGGAAGCACUACACUUUUAAACCACCAGAUCUCAUGAGAAUUCCAUCACAAGACAACACUAGGAGGAUGGUGCUAAACUGUUAUAAACCAGCCCCAUGAUCCAAUCCCCUCCCGCCAGGUCCCUCCCUUGACAAAUGGGGAUUACAUUUUGAGAUGAGUUUGGAUGGGGACACAGAGCCAAACCAUAUCACCAGUAAAAUCAGAAUAAGCAAUUAAAAGAAGCAUAAAUAAAAAACAAUUUUCUGUGCUGAAAAAGGAUCUGGGUAUCUGUUCAAAGAGCUCACUACAUUCUAGAAAAAAAUCCAUUAAAAUAUAUACAUUUAGAUAUAUUAUUUUUUGAGGUGCAGUCAUAAGUUAAAAGUCCUCUUUUUAUCCAGCAUAGAAACAAUGACUAAAAGAACAAGCAACCAAAAUCUUACCCUCAGAACAGGAAUUAGAGUAUACUCAGACUGCUUGUACAGCCCUAAGUACCAGAAUAACAAGAAACAUCUAAUAAUAAAAAUAUUUAUCAUAUCAUUUAUUUGAAUGCCUGCUGCAUUUAACAUACUUACAUAUUUUAUCUCUUUAUUUCAAACAACAACCCUAUGAGGUAGGUAAUAUAUCCUCAUUUGUAGAAACUGAGAUUCAGACACAGAGCAUGACCAAAAUCUCAUAGCCAUAAAGUUAUAGAAAUAAAAUCUAAUGUAAGUUUACUUGAUUCCAAAACAUGUGCUUUUUAAAUUGUGGUAUGCAGCCCCUAUGAUACUUGAGAGGAAAUGUCUUUGAUCUAGAUUUUAGCACCCUGCUAAGUUGUUUUUAACAAGGGUAUUAGUCUGUUCUCACGCUGCUAAUAAAGAUAUACCUGAGACUGGGUAAUUUGUAAAGAAAAGAGGUUUCGUUUACUCAGAGUUCCACAUGGCUUGGGGGGUCUCAUAAUUAUGGUGGAGGGCAAGGAGGGGCAAAGUCAUGUCUUACAUGGUGGCAAGCAAAAGGAGAGCAUGUGCAGGGGAACUCCUCUUUAUAGAACCAUCAAAUCUCAUAAGACUUAUUCACUAUCAUGAGAACAGCAUGUGAAAGACUUGCCCCCAUGAUUCAAUUACCUCCCACUGUGUCCCUCCCAUAACACAUGGGAAUUAUGGGAGCUAUAAUUCAAGAUGAAAUUUGGGUGAGUACACAGCCAAACCAUAUCAACAACAAACAAGAGAAAAGCAUGGUCAGAUAAGCAAAGUCUCAGAAAAUAUGCUUUUUGAAAACAAAUAUGCUUUUUGAAGGCUGCUCAUAUGCUUUUUAAAACAAUUAGUACCAGACUGACUUUAGUUAUGCAAGAAAAUCAUACAAAUUAAGACAUAUAAAAGUCAAUUCUAUUGGAAAGGGAUUGGGGCUGAGUUUUGGAACCUUUUACGAAGUUACAGAAAAUAAUUAUAAUGAAUCAAAUUAGGGUUAUGGUGUCAGAGAUGAAAAUGAGAAAAUAGGUUUGCAAGAAUUAAUGAGGCAUUGACCACGGGUGGGGAGUGAUGAAAUAGAGACACUCUUGGACAACUUUUAGAUAUACAGACUUUAGUGAGUAGAUGAAUCUUAGUGAUGACUAGCAUACAGUAGGAAGAACAGAAUUUCAUUAAAAAAUCAUUAAUCUUUGAAUAUGCAGAGCUUGUUUCUUUUGUCAUAUACCUACAGGCAAGCAAUUAAACAGGACUAAUAUUCAUGAGAAAGGUUUUGGGUGGAGCUGCAGACUUGGAAAGGGAUAUUAAAGACUGAGAAGUGAGUGAGAUCACUUAAGGAGAGCAUGACAGAUGUGAAUAAGACAGGCAUUAGAGAAUGUGGCAUGCAGGAGUUAAGAAGUAGAAACAUGCAAUAACAAAUAGUCAAUGAAAGAAAGUUUUAAGAAGAAAGUAAUUAUAAACAAUGCCAAGGGCUAUGCAGAGAGGUCAGUAAAAUGAAGAUACAAAGCAUGCCCAAUGAAUAGAGCACUGGAAGAAGCAUUGGAAGAUACACAGCAUAUCCAUUGAAUUGACAGCUGUGGAAGAAGCACUUUGCAUAAAAUUGUGAUACUGAGAGUCUGACUAAUGAGUUGAGGUAGUAGGGAAGUGAAGAUAGUGAAUGAGAGAAGGAACAGUUGAAGGAACCGUUUGGUUUUGAAAGACUACAGAUAUCUGAGCAUAUUUACAGUCUGGAUGGAAGGAUCUCAAAGAGAAAGGGGAUGGAGGAGGGAGAGAGAUUGCAUCAUUGGUAGAGCUUGAAACAAAGCCCUGAAUGAGGUAUGAAAGAGCAGAGCUGGAAAAAUUGUCUUAGGAAAGGAGAAUGAAUACCUUGUACCUGAAUGAUGGCAAAUAUGAAUGCUUUUGUAAUGAGAAGUUGAGGCAUUUUUCUCUGACACCUCUGUUUUCUCUGAGAUGUUAGAGAUAAGGUCAUGUGUUAAAAUUGCAUGAAGUAGGGAAUAUGCAGAGGAUUUGAGGAGAGUUUCUUUUUAAAAUUAAUAUGCUAUUUUAUAAACAAAGUUAUAUGUGUAAUAUGUAUGUAAGUUAUGAUGUAGAAUAAGAAGGUGAACACCAGGAAUCCACCAUCCAGCGUAUGCUCUAGAAGACUAUAUGUUUAUUCCCCAUCUUAUCACCCAGCCUCUAUUACAGGCAAAAUAAAGGUUUGCGAUGCCAGUGGAAAGGAAUGGAAAAGAAAGAUAACCAAGCACAAUGGGAUAAUUGUCAAGCAACCCUGUGGGUCCACCUAUGACUUGCUACAGUAAAUUUGUAGUGGCACAGAUAUUCGUAUUCAUGGUUGUCAGAUUUUGUUAAGCUACAUUGAUAAUUCUAGUAAGAAGCCAGCUUGCAGGAUUGCAGGAGAAUAAGGAGGCUAGGAAGCUGAUGGUACAUUGAGAGAAUACUUCAAAUAAUUUUCCAUGGAUUUGCAUUCAAUAAAAAAAGAAAGUUUGGUGAGAAAUUGGUCAAGAAACUCUAGGAUAGUGGAGAUUUAAUAGACUAUUUCAGUUCAAUAAUAAAAUGAAAGGGUAGGUUUAGUGAAAAGGAGGAGGUAAGACAGGAGAAUGGUAGGAGUGUUUGGUUGAGGACAGGAUAUUGAAGACUAACAGUUUAUAGGUAGAAUAGUCCUGAAUGCUGACCAACAUCUCAGGUGUGGUCAUUUAUUUGUGUUCCUGAUAUAACAUGCAGGUACAGUUUAUUCAUUUUAAAGGCAAAUAAUUGUGAAAUUACAAUGUUGGAUGCAUUUUUCAUAUGCAUGCUGAAAUCAUCCAGUAUGAUUCCAAAAUUAUGUUUAAGAGACAGACUCUGAACCAAAUGUCCAAAUUCUCAAUGACUGGGAGUGUCCAAGAGACUCAAAUUGCUAUCACUUUUAGAAGUGCACCAUGCCCUCACUGGGUGUCAAGAGCUUUGGAGAAAGAGUUUAAAAUGAGUGUGACUCCUUUGGAAUUUUUAAUAGAGGUUAAGAGGGCUUUAUUCCAUUGCAUGGUUGAGGAAAGAUGGAGAGAAAAAAAAAUAGUCUUGUUUAAGAUUUACAGAGAAGUGAGUGUAGAAUAAUAGAAAGAUGAGAAUACCGGGGAGAGGUGAUCAAAAGAAACUGAUGCAGGACAGGCAAGCCCCCAAAUUGGGGCUUAGCCUGUGAGGGUUCUUUGCUUCACUCAGAAAAAAUUCAAGGAUGAACCGGUGGUGUUAAACAGCAAGUUUUUUUCAAAUGGCAGUGUACAGCAGCAACAGAAGCACUGCUUUUUGCAGAGCAGUGCUACCCCAUAGGCAGUGUGCCCAGAAUAGCACCUCAGAGGCAGUGCUGUACUUAUAUUUGUACCCACUUUUAAUUAUAUGCAAACUAACGGGAGGUUUAUGCAGAAAUUUAUAGGAUGAUGGAGGUAACUUCCAGGUCAUUGGGUCAUUGCUACGGAAAGGGGCGGUAAUUUCCAAGUGUUGCUGUGGCAAUGGUCACCUGACAUGGCACAGUGGUGGGCGUGUCUUAUGGAAAGCCACCUCCGCACUGACCUGUUUUAGCUAGUCCUUAAUUUUUGCCUGAUGUCUGAGCCCUGCCUCUGAAGAUUCCUGCCUCCUACCUCAAAACCAUACUUUGAAAAUGGUCUUCAUAUUUCAGGAGCAAGAGUCAUGGAUAUGGUUAACACAGUAAUUUGAUUGCAAAUUAGCUUUGGGGCCAGAACUGGAUGAGAAUCUGCAGUGAUACUGUUGUGACCUUCCUGCAGAAUUUGUCUCUGUUGUACUGGUUUGGAUGGUUAUCUUCCCAAUGGAAACUGAAAGAGGGGAAAAUUCUUAUUGCAUAGAUGAAAGUAGUCUUAAAUGUGUUCAUCCCAUAAUAUGGAUUAGAUGGUGGAUGAAGUGGUCAAGAAGUGAUAAUUUCCAGAAACAGACUAUAAUGACACUCAGGAAACCAGUGAUAUACAAAGUAACCAUGCUGGAGACAGCAUCUGAAAUAUCUGGAACCUCAGGCACGCUCUCCUUCUCCAUAACAUAUUUGUAAGAAAAAGGAGUCUAUUUAACCUCAUGGGAGAAAAUCUAAACUGGAUAAAUCUUUUCAAAAAAAUCUCACCAUGGCUUUUGUAUUGCUAAACCCAGGACUGAUUUUUAGGUGCAAAAAGAUCCUUGGGAUUUCCUGUCUCUGAGAUAGACUAGGAAUAGAGUCAGGUCAUACCCUUUCUACCUAUUGCUCACUUCCCCAGAAACCAGCCUGCAAAGCAGGAACAGCUUUCCAUCCUUUGUUGCUCUUUUCAAAAGAGCAUAGAAUCACUUCUUUCCUUGAAUAUAUAGAGCUUUGUAUAUAUAAAUGCAAGUAAUCAUUAUUAAAUAUUUGUGAAACAGAUAUAAAGAUUCAUCAGAUCACUGUACAUUCACAUUUUGAUGACCCAAGAAAGAAAGAAUCUGGUGAUAGAUCAGUGGAAUCUGCCAUGAGCAAGUAUCUGUGAUUGAAUGAAACGUCCUAAAUGAACACAUCUAUGUUCUGUGUCAUUGAACAAAAGAUUCAAAAUACUCUGCAAUGUUAAAAAAUAAUUAAACAAAAAUGAUUUUGUAAGAUUGCUUUUGAAGAGGCAUUUGUUUGGGUUUGUAGUUUUCUUGGCUAUUUAUUCAUUCAUUUCUGGUAAACAAUACUUUUAGAUUCACUUUAAUGAAGUCAGUUGCUACAAACUUCACAUUUCUCUCCUCUGAGAUAAUUUAAUCAACAAAUUAUUUUCCCUGUGUUAUAUAUUUCAGCCUGACAAAGAACAGAAAAGCAACACAUGUUAAUGUCAUAACAAGUGAGGCUCUGCAGCUGAGUAGAAUCUCAUUCCCUGGCUCUCAAGGUGGAAGAGAUAGGGUAGGGAGGCUACAGUUGAAUAUAAGAAAUGAAGUAAGUAAAAGCAUAGCUGAGAAAACACUACAGCUCUCUCAGAGAAGAGGUCUCUGGUUAUCAAGAAGAUGACUUAAAAAAAUGAAAAAUAAUCAAAAUGCUGUUAAAACUGCGGUAAAAACAAGGAUUGAAGAAAAGUGAUAAAGGAUAGAGGGUAAUUCAAAGAAUAUUGAGAGGAAUAUACUGAGUAUAAUGAUUUAAAAACAGAACCAUUACAAUUGUGUUCUAGUCAGUUUUUCAGCUCAUUUCUAAGACAUAGCUUAGAACAUUUUGGGAUAGAAGAGGGAGAUGGAAAUAUACAUGCAAAUAAUAGCACUAUACAGGAAAUACGUUCUUAGCAUCUGGACAUUUACACAUAUAAUUGAUUGGAGGGGAAUGAUUUGCAGAAACUUCAAGUUUCUGGGACAGUUCUCAUUUUUAAUAUUUUGUUUCACUGAUAAAUUGUUUAAUUGAUCAAUGUGUUAAGAUUUUUCAGAAAAAAAGAUUAUCAUAAUUGUGAUAGCUAUACAUUACUGCAAUGGAGGAAAAGGAAAAUGUUAGAGAACAACUGAAGAAACAAAGGCCAGAUUAUUUAAAGCUCACUCAGAUUUCUGUAACACAUAGCCAUUCACAAAAGACCACGAUAUCUUUGGAGAAAAAAGGGAGAGUUUUAUUUUCUAUUAAACUCAGACUGAAGACUGGGGAGAUGCGUCAUUCAGUGCACAAGGAGGUGGGGUUGGAGAGUCAGCGUUUAUAGAGGCAAAAACCGCAGGGCAGGGAGAGGAUUCUGAGGAACAGUCCUUAAGCCCCAAAUCACUAGUCUCUCUUACAUGGCUGGUUCCAGGUGGUCAGUACAAUAGUGCCAGGUGUUCUGUUGGAGUCAGCUGGGGAAUUUCCAGCUGCAGUUGUUUCCAGUAACUGUUCUUUGACUUGCUUGUAGAAAAACAGGUUUUGUAAUACUUUCUAAAGACAUAGAGAGUGUGACUGCUCCCUCACACUGCCUUGGUGUCUUGGGUCUGCUUUUACUCCCAGAUGAGUCAGGGAGUUCAUCUUGCCUGUUAACUGGGGGCAUUGUUUGACAUAGCAUAAUUCUAUUUUCCUUUUACCAUCAUCAUUUAAAAACGUUUUAAAAAGUUGUUAUGAAAAUUUUCUAAGGACUUGAAAUAUAUGUAGAUGGUUCAGUUGAGUAAAUGGCUACUUUUAACAAAAUUAGCUGGCUUUCAUUAAUUCACCGAGUGUUGUCAGUCACAACAGGAUAUUUGCAAUAAAAAUAUUGACAUAAUUGCUUAAACGAUUGACAUCACUAAAUAUGAUAACUCUAUACAUUUGAUGACAGAAGAACUGAUUGGAAAAGACUGAGUUGGUUUCAUUUUCUUUGUUCAGCAAGGCUAGCAUUUAAUGUGCAAAAUGAACACCUUUGCCAGGGGCCUAUUUUUCCUUGUGAAAGAAACUCACAGUGACAAUAUGUGUUGCAAAGCUCAUAAAAAUCAUCUAGCUGAUUUUUAUAAGACCAUAUUAAUCAAUAAUAGAAGAUCAGGGUGGAAUCUUUCCAUCAGAUUUUUCUAUAUUCUUUUGACAUAGAUUGAGUAUUGAGUAGUUAUUAAUAUUUUAUAUUAUGAAGUCCAUCAAUGUUUUGAUAAUAGUGAUGGAUCCUCUACUGAGGAAAAAUAAAUGUAUCUGUGAAACAUUUUUUACAUUUCUUUGAGCCCAUUCCUGGACUUCUUCGGGGUUCUUGAAUGACAGGUUAAGAAUUUUUAUUAUAGAGUAACAUCUGAAAUAUUACCUUUUUGUGCUUAUAAGUAAACUUCACUGUUAAUUGUCUCUUCCUACCCUCAUGAACUCCUCUUUCUUGAUCUUCUUAGCAACAGAUCUAUUAUUUUUGUUUAUUAAAUUUUAAAGCAGUCAAUAAAUGCGUUCAGGCAUGAGAGAUUCUAAUGUCUAAGAAUCCUCAAAUAAUAAGCACAUGGAUCUGAGCACUUCUUUAAGUGUCACUAAGUUAAACUUGUUUCAGAUUUGUUUCAGAUUCAUCUUUCAAAAAUACCAUGAGUAUUUAUGUUUUGUGGAAUCUAAUCCAUGGUUAACAUCUGGUAGCAUGACUUUUGAGGUCAAAAAAAUCCUGGAUAUAAAUCUAAAUUCUCAUGUACAAGACAAACAAGCACAAUUACUAUUUAUUUUAACAUGACUUUUAGCUUUUGGAAUAAGAGAGGUUAAAAAAAAACUGUUAAAAGAGUUUAGUUUAUUUGGUUUAAAAUAGCUUUAUUGAGGUAUAAUUGACAUACAAUCAACUCAUGUAUUUAAGUGUACAAUUUAAUAUUUUCUCAUAUGUAUAUACCCAAUGAAACCACAACCACAAUCACAAUAAUAAGCAUAUUUAUUGCCUCUGAAAGUGUUACCAUGCCCUUUUGUAAUAUAUCCCUCUACCUCCACCUGCAUCAUCACCAGGCAAUUGCAGAUUUGAUUUCUAUCAUUAUAGAUUCGUUGAUAUUUUGUAGAAUUUUUAGUAAAUGAAAUGAUAAUGUGCGCAUUUUAUUUUUUUGUCACUCUGCAAAAUUAUUUUAGAAUUCACCCACGAUUUCAUUUAUAUAAAUUGUUCAUCUGUUUUUUAUUAUUGUGUGGUAAUCCAUUGUCUGGCUACAUCAGAACAUAUUUAUCCACUCACCCGUUGAUGUGUAAUAAAGCACAGGCUCAGCGGCUCGCAGCUUGAAAAGCUAAUGACAAGGAUGAAGUUCCAUGAAAGGAAAGUGACUUUGUUUUCCAAAGCUAGCAGUGAGGAGGAAGCUGGAUUACACCUCUAGAAACUGCUUCAAAAGGUUAGACUGAGGGCAGGUGUUUAAAAAAAGAAGGCUUGAUAGGAGAGGCAUGCAGGAGAUUUGCAGGAUUCAGGGGCCAUGUGUCUUGUUCCAACACCUAUCUUAAGUUAUGGUCACCCUGGAGCAACGGGCUGAUACCAUCUCGACAGCAUCUGGAUUGUAGAUUAUACAUCUUGGGGCAAUCUUUAAGAGGGGGAGAGUUCCACAGCUGGGCCUUUAUGCUUGGUUCAUUUUAAAUUGGCCUCUGGAACUUAACAAGCAUAUAGCGAGAUAAGUGUGCAUGGUGUGAGUUUAACAAGCAUACAAUUAGAUGAAUGUGCAUAAGACAAGAGAGCAUAAGGUAGAAAGGGAAGGGAGUAGAAUUUUGAAGUACAUUUCAAGGCUAUAUUAAAGACUAAGGAAAAGGCUUCUGCAGGUUCCUUCAAGUUUACAUCUUGAGAUUGGGGAAAAAGGAGAAAAAUGAGAAAGGAAAAAUUAAAAAAAAUUUUUUUUGAAGCUAAAUUACUUGGUUACAAUUGGACAUAUGGGCUGUUUCCUAUUUGGACUAUUACAAAUAAGCUACUAUGAACAUUCAUUUACAAGUCUGUUUGUGUACAUAUGGUUUCAUUGAUCAUGAAGUAAAUACCUCAGAGUACAAUGUCUGGAUAAUAUAAUAAGUGUAUGGUUAACUUAAAAAAAAAAAACCUGCCAAACUGCUUUCCAAAGUGCCAGUACCAUUUUACAUUUCCAAUAUCAAUGUGUGUCCUGGUUGCUCCACAAGUUUAUUAACAUUUGGUAUGAUCAGUCUUUUCCAUUUCAUAUAUUCUAAUAGGUGUUUCAUAGUAUAUCAACAUUGUUUUAAUUUGUACUUUCCUAAUGAGUGGUGAUGAAUAUUUUUUCAUGUGUUUGUUAUGUUUGUCAUCUGUUUAUCUUUUUGGUGAGUUUCUUUUCAAGGCUUUCUCUAGUUUUGAUAAUGUAUUUGUUUAUUUUCAUCUUACUGAGUUUUGAGAGUUCUUUAUAUAUUCUGAAUAUAAACCGAUUUUCACAUAUGUGAUUAACAAAUAUUUUCUCCCAGUCUGUGCUUAUAUUUUCAUUCUUUAAUUAACAUUGUUUUUGAAGAGCAACAUUUUUAAUUUUGGGAAAGUCAAGUUUGUCAAUUUUUACUUUAAUGAGUCAUGUUUUUGCUAAUAUAUUUAUAAAAUUUUUACUUCACCAAAGGUCACAAAGAUUUUCCUCUAUGAUUACUUCCAAAAUGUUUAUAGUUUUAGAUUUUACUUUCAGUCUGUGAUCCAUUUUAAGUUACCUUUUGUAUAUGAUGAAGGUCAUGGAACAAAAUUUAUUUUUCAUAUUUAUUCCAGCACACUUGUUGAAAAUGCUCUCCUUUAUCUAUUACAUUGCUUUCGAAAUUUUGUGGAAAAUCAAUUGAUUGUAUGGAUGUGGGUCUAUUUAUGUACUCUAUUGUAUUCCUUUAAUCUACUUCUCUGUCUGGAUGCAAAUAACAUACUAUUUUGAUUACUGUAAUUUUAUUAUAAAUCUUGAAAUCAGGUAGUAUUAGUGUCUUAGCUUUACUUUCUUAUCAGAGUUGUUUUGGCUAUUCUAGGCGCUCUGCAUUUCCAGAUAAAUGUUAGAAUCAGUUUAUAAAGUUUUACCAAAAAAUCCUGCUGGUAUUUUAACUUGAACUGUUUUGAAUCUAUACUUUGUUUUUAGAAAAGUUAACAUCCUCAUAAUAGUGAGCCUUCCAAUUUGCGAACACUGUGUUUCUUCCCAUUUUUCCAGGUCUUCUUUAAUUCCUCUCAACAGUAUUUUGUAGUUUUUAGUAUGUAGUUCUUCCACAUCUUUUGUUAGUUUUAUUCCUGUGUACUUUAUAGUUUUGAUUCUAUUUUCCAAAAAUAUUAUUUCUUUUUUAUUUUAGUUUUCAAUUGUUUGUUGUUAGUAUAUAUAAAUACAAUUUUUUUAUGUUGUUCUUAUGUCCUCCAAACCUGCUAAACUCACUCAUAAUUGUGGCAGCAUUUUUGUAGGUUCCAUUAGAUUUUCUACACAGACAAUUAUGUUAAUUGCAAAGAGAGCUUAACUUAUCUCUUUCCAAUCUGGAUGCCUUUUAUUUCCAUUUCAUGUAAUAUUGCAAAAUGGCUAGAAACUCUGCUACAAUUUGAAUAUAAGUGAUAAAGGCAGACAUCUUCACCUUCUCCUGGUCUUAGGGGAAAAUCACCCAGUAUUUCAACAUAAAAAUGUUAUUAGUUUUAGGCUUUUCAUAGAUGCCUGUGGUAGACUGAAUAAUGCUCCUCCACUUCCCCACAAGUGUCCAUGUCCUAAUUCUUGGCACCUAUGACUAUGUUACCCUACAUAACAAAAGGGAAUUUACAGAUGUGACUAACUUAAGGAUUUUGAGUUGGGAAGAUUAUAAUGCAUUAUCAAGUUAGGCGUAAUAUAAUCAGAGGCCUUUUUAAGUAGGAAGGAGUAGUGGUGUAGUUAGAGAAUGAAAUGUGAUGAUGGAAGAAGUACUAAGAGAUCAUAAGCCAAGGAGUGAGGGAACCCUCUAAAGCCUGGGAAAGGUAAGAAAAUGGACUUUUCCCUGGAACCUCUAGAAGGAACACAGCCCUGCCCACCUCUUUUAAACUUUGGGCCUCCAGAACUGUGAAUUUGUGUUAUUCUAAGCCACUAAAUUUUUGGUAUGUUAUGGUAGCAGAAGAAAUGAAUACGAUGCCUUUUAUCAGGUUGAGGAAGUUCUCUUGUAUCUCUAGUUUGCUGACAGCUUUUAUAGAAAUUGCUAUGAGAUUUUGUCAAAUGCUUUGUCUGCAUCUAUUGAGAUAAUUAUAUAAUUUUCCUUUUUAUUUUUUUAAUAUGGUGAAGUAUGUUGAUUAAUGUCCAAUGUUAAGUCAAACAUGCAUUUAUAGGAUUGAUCCUGUUUGGUCAUGGGUUAUUUAGAGUUCUGUUGUUUAGUUCAUAAUAUCUUGAGAUUUUCUAAGUAACUUUCUGUAAUUAACUUCAAAUGUAAUACAAUUGUGGUCAGAGAACAUACUUUGACUUGAGUCAUUUUAAACUUGUUGAGACCUCCUUUAUGACUCAGAAUAGGAGUUAGCUUCCAUGUGCACUUAAAAAGAGUAUGUAUUACGCUCUUGUUGGCUGUAGUGUUCUGUAAAUUUCAAUGGGUAAUGUUAUUCAAGUCUUGAUAAUUGCUUGAUAAUGUUAUUCAAGUCUUCUACAUCAUUGGUAAUUAUCUCUCUACUUGUUUAAUUACUGAGAAUGAGGUGUUAAAAUUACAGAGAUUUCUUGUCUUACAGUCCUGGAGGCCAGAAGUCUUAAACUAAGAUGUCAGAAAUGCUACAUUCUCUUGUAAUGUGCUAGAGAAGAAACUGUUCCUUGCUAGCUUCUGGUAGCCUCAGGCACUCCUUGGUUUGCACAUGUAUCACUCUGUCCUCAUUUUCAGAUGACAUUCUCCCUGUAUCUUCACAUCAUCUUUCCUCUGUGUUUGUCUGUGCCUUCAUCCAAAUUUCCUUCUUUAAGAAGGCCACCCAUCAUUUUGGAUGAAGGUUUACCCAAAUGGCUUCAUUUUCACUUGAUUACCUCUCAAAGAACCUAUUUCCAAAUAAGAUCACAUUUUGAGGUACUGGGAGUUAGGACUUCAAUAUAUGGUAGUCCUCUCUUGUCCAUGGUUUUGCUUUCCAUGGUUUCAGCUAUCCACAGUCAACCAUGGUUCCAAAAUAGUACAUGGGAAAUUCCAGAAAUAAACAAUUCAUAAAUUUUAAAUUGUGCUCUGCUCUGAGUAGCAUGAUGAAAUGUCAUGCUGUCCAAAUCCGUCUGACCCAGGUAAUGAAUCAUCCACACCAUCUAAGCUACCCAAAUCACUUAGUAGCCUGCCUGGUUAUCAGAUUCACUGUCCUGGAUCACAGUGUUUGUGUUCAAGUAACCCCUUAUUUGACUUAAUAAUUGCUCCAAACUCAAGUAGUGAUGCUGGCAAUUUGCAUAUGCCAAAAAGAAGCUCUAAACUGCUUUAAGUGAAAAGGUAAAAGUUCUUGACUUAAGGAAAGAAAACAUUUUAUGCGGAAGUUGCUAAGGUCUAUGAAAAGAACCAAUCAUGUAUCCAUGAAAUUGUGAAGAGGAGAAAAGAAAUUUGUGAUAGUUUCUUUGCGGUUGCACUGCUAACUGCACAAGUUAUAGCCACAGUGCAUGAUAAGUGUUUAUAUAGGCCUUGGUACUAUCAGUGGCUUCAGGCAACUAUGGCAGGUCUUGGAGUGUAUCCCCUGAGGAUAACGGGAGCUGCUGUAUCUUUUUGGAAGGACACAGUUCAACUCAUAAGGUGUGUCAUGCUUUUUUUUUUUUUAAAUUCCAAUCUGACAAUUUACCUUUUAUUUAAUUAUGAUUUGACCAUUCACAAUGUGAUGAUUGAUAUGAUUGAGUUUAAAUCUAUAAUUUUGCUGUGUGUUUUCUACUUAUUCCAUGUGUUUUUCCCCCAAGUAUCUGCAUUCCUUUGAAUUAAUCUAGUAUCAACUAAUUAUUUUUAUCUUCUUUGUUGUCUGGUUAUUUACAACUCUUUGUUGUGUUAUUUAAUGAGUGCUCUAUGGCUCAUCUUUCAUUUAGUAUAGCUUACUUUUAACUAGUAAAAGCCUUAUAGUAUAUUUCCAUUUCCCUCCUCUGGGUCUUUGUGUUAUUGCUAUCAUAUGCUUUAAUCUUCAUUUAUUAGAAACCCCACACUAUGUUGUUACUAUUUUAGAUUUAAACAGUUGAUUAUCUUUUAAAGUAAUUUACAUAAUAAAAAGUAUCUUAUAUUUGUUUAUGUAUUUAUUCUGUAUUCCUUUCUGUAGAUCAAUAUUUUAUUUAU